AUGGCUUGCUACCCAUGCAACCCUCUCCCCCACCGCCCACCAGGCACCACCAUCACCCCCGGCCCUCUUCGUGCUCGUUGUGGCUAUGUAGUACUUGGAGGAGAUCUUCCCAUGGUGUGUGAUGAAUGGGCUAUUGCCACCCUUGUUCCGGAAGUUUCUGCAGAGGAAUUCCACGACGCCAUUGCUCUGAUCACUACCUUCCUUGAAGGUCGCAGAUGGCGCAUCAACUAUACUUCUUGCUGCGGUAUGGGUACUGCUCUCAUAGAGUUCACUACUGCCUGCUCUAGAGAUACUAUUGUCAGUCAUAGCCCAUUUCAGAUUGGUGACUCUGUUUUGAGGAUCGGUUGGCAGGACAGAGGUCUGAACUAUCGUAGCAUCACUUUCACUCAUGAUAUUUGGAUCUUAAUGAUGAACUACCCUCUUGAAUGCUGGGAUGUUGGGGUUGUUAGUUGCUCUGUUUCUCCCUAUGGCUAAUUUCUAAUCUGGAAUAAAGAUCCUAAGGUUAAAACUGGAAUUAUUGUGAAGAUCAGAGUUAUGAAUGCUGACACUGUUCCUAUCAGUAUUGUUGUGCUCCGAAAUCAUGAUGAUGUUGGUUAUGGGGAUUCCUGGACAUGCCCCACAUAUAUUCUAUCUAGUGAAUUAAUUGGGCAGCAGAGUGGAGAUGAGGAUCCACUUCCACUAGAUGGUGGCAAUCCACAGGUAGGGUUUUUUUAG
rnacentral:rRNA from 1 species